rnacentral:rRNA from 1 species
GUAGGGAAAGUUUUUCGGUGUAGGAUGAGACUAUAUAGUAUCAGCUAGUUGGUAAGGUAAUGGCUUACCAAGGCUAUGACGCUUAACUGGUCUGAGAGGAUGAUCAGUCACACUGGAACUGAGACACGGUCCAGACUCCUACGGGAGGCAGCAGUAGGGAAUAUUGCGCAAUGGGGGAAACCCUGACGCAGCAACGCCGCGUGGAGGAUGACACUUUUCGGAGCGUAAACUCCUUUUCUUAGGGAAGAAUUCUGACGGUACCUAAGGAAUAAGCACCGGCUAACUCCGUGCCAGCAGCCGCGGUAAUACGGAGGGUGCAAGCGUUACUCGGAAUCACUGGGCGUAAAGGGCGCGUAGGCGGAUUAUCAAGUCUCUUGUGAAAUCUAAUGGCUUAACCAUUAAACUGCUUGGGAAACUGAUAGUCUAGAGUGAGGGAGAGGCAGAUGGAAUUGGUGGUGUAGGGGUAAAAUCCGUAGAUAUCACCAAGAAUACCCAUUGCGAAGGCGAUCUGCUGGAACUCAACUGACGCUAAGGCGCGAAAGCGUGGGGAGCAAACAGGAUUAGAUACCCUGGUAGUCCACGCCCUAAACGAUGUACACUAGUUGUUGGGGUGCUAGUCAUCUCAGUAAUGCAGCUAACGCAUUAAGUGUACCGCCUGGGGAGUACGGUCGCAAGAUUAAAACUCAAAGGAAUAGACGGGGACCCGCACAAGCGGUGGAGCAUGUGGUUUAAUUCGAAGAUACGCGAAGAACCUUACCUGGGCUUGAUAUCCUAAGAACCUUUUAGAGAUAAGAGGGUGCUAGCUUGCUAGAACUUAGAGACAGGUGCUGCACGGCUGUCGUCAGCUCGUGUCGUGAGAUGUUGGGUUAAGUCCCGCAACGAGCGCAACCCACGUAUUUAGUUGCUAACGGUUCGGCCGAGCACUCUAAAUAGACUGCCUUCGUAAGGAGGAGGAAGGUGUGGACGACGUCAAGUCAUCAUGGCCCUUAUGCCCAGGGCGACACACGUGCUACAAUGGCAUAUACAAUGAGACGCAAUACCGCGAGGUGGAGCAAAUCUAUAAAAUAUGUCCCAGUUCGGAUUGUUCUCUGCAACUCGAGAGCAUGAAGCCGGAAUCGCUAGUAAUCGUAGAUCAGCCAUGCUACGGUGAAUACGUUCCCGGGUCUUGUACUCACCGCCCGUCACACCAUGGGAGUUGAUUUCACUCGAAGCCGGAAUACUAAACUAGUUACCGUCCACAGUGGAAUCAGCGACUGGGGUGAAGUCGUAACAAGGUAACCGUAGGAGAACCUGCGGUUGGAUCACCUCCUUUCUA